rnacentral:rRNA from 1 species
GUUUACGGCCAUGCCACCCUGAAGAAGCGUGCUGUCUAAUCUCGGAAGCUAAGCAGCGUCAGGCCUGGUUAGUACUUGGAUGGGAGACCACCUAGGAAGACCAGGCGCUGUAGGCG